GAUGAACGCUGGCGGCGUGCCUAACACAUGCAAGUCGAGCGAACAGACGAGGAGCUUGCUCCUCUGACGUUAGCGGCGGACGGGUGAGUAACACGUGGAUAACCUACCUAUAAGACUGGGAUAACGUCGGGAAACCGGAGCUAAUACCGGAUAAUAUAUUGAACCGCAUGGUUCAAUAGUGAAAGACGGUUUUGCUGUCACUUAUAGAUGGAUCCGCGCCGCAUUAGCUAGUUGGUAAGGUAACGGCUUACCAAGGCGACGAUGCGUAGCCGACCUGAGAGGAUGAUCGGCCACACUGGAACUGAGACACGGUCCAGACUCCUACGGGAGGCAGCAGUAGGGAAUCUUCCGCAAUGGGCGAAAGCCUGACGGAGCAACGCCGCGUGAGUGAUGAAGGUCUUCGGAUCGUAAAGCUCUGUUAUUAGGGAAGAACAAAUGUGUAAGUAACUAUGCACGUCUUGACGGUACCUAAUCAGAAAGCCACGGCUAACUACGUG
rnacentral:rRNA from 1 species